UACGGAGUGUGCAAGCGUUACUCGGAAUCACUGGGCAUAAAGCGCGCGUAGGCGGGUAUUCAAGUCGGUUGUGAAAUCCCCCAGCUCAACUGGGGAACUGCAUCCGAUACUGUCUGUCUUGAGGACGAGAGGGGAGAGUGGAACUUCUGGUGGAGCGGUGAAAUGCGUAGAUAUCAGGAAGAACACCAAUGGCGAAGGCAGCUCUCUGGGACGGUACUGACGCUGAGACGCGAAAGCGUGGGGAGCGAACAGG
rnacentral:rRNA from 1 species